rnacentral:rRNA from 1 species
GAUGAACGCUGGCGGCGUGCCUAAUACAUGCAAGUCGAGCGAACAGAUAAGGAGCUUGCUCCUUUGACGUUAGCGGCGGACGGGUGAGUAACACGUGGGUAACCUACCUAUAAGACUGGGAUAACUUCGGGAAACCGGAGCUAAUACCGGAUAAUAUUUCGAACCGCAUGGUUCGAUAGUGAAAGAUGGUUUUGCUAUCACUUAUAGAUGGACCCGCGCCGUAUUAGCUAGUUGGUAAGGUAACGGCUUACCAAGGCGACGAUACGUAGCCGACCUGAGAGGGUGAUCGGCCACACUGGAACUGAGACACGGUCCAGACUCCUACGGGAGGCAGCAGUAGGGAAUCUUCCGCAAUGGGCGAAAGCCUGACGGAGCAACGCCGCGUGAGUGAUGAAGGUCUUCGGAUCGUAAAACUCUGUUAUUAGGGAAGAACAUACGUGUAAGUAACUGUGCACGUCUUGACGGUACCUAAUCAGAAAGCCGCGGCUAACUACGUG